UUUGGUGAUGAUGGCGAAGAGGUCACACCCGUUCCCAUGCCGAACACGGAAGUUAAGCUCUUCAGCGCCGAUGGUAGUUGGGGGUUUCCCCCUGUGAGAGUAGGACGUUGCCAAGU
rnacentral:rRNA from 2 species